rnacentral:rRNA from 1 species
CGCGUGGCGUCGGCUUACCAUGCAGUCGAGCGGAGAGAGGUAGCUUGCUACCGAUCUUAGCGGCGGACGGGUGAGUAAUGCUUAGGAAUCUGCCUAUUAGUGGGGGACAACAUUUCGAAAGGAAUGCUAAUACCGCAUACGUCCUACGGGAGAAAGCAGGGGAUCUUCGGACCUUGCGCUAAUAGAUGAGCCUAAGUCGGAUUAGCUAGUUGGUGGGGUAAAGGCCUACCAAGGCGACGAUCUGUAGCGGGUCUGAGAGGAUGAUCCGCCACACUGGGACUGAGACACGGCCCAGACUCCUACGGGAGGCAGCAGUGGGGAAUAUUGGACAAUGGGCGCAAGCCUGAUCCAGCCAUGCCGCGUGUGUGAAGAAGGCCUUAUGGUUGUAAAGCACUUUAAGCGAGGAGGAGGCUACUUUAGUUAAUACCUAGAGAUAGUGGACGUUACUCGCAGAAUAAGCACCGGCUAACUCUGUGCCAGCAGCCGCGGUAAUACAGAGGGUGCAAGCGUUAAUCGGAUUUACUGGGCGUAAAGCGCGCGUAGGCGGCUAAUUAAGUCAAAUGUGAAAUCCCCGAGCUUAACUUGGGAAUUGCAUUCGAUACUGGUUAGCUAGAGUGUGGGAGAGGAUGGUAGAAUUCCAGGUGUAGCGGUGAAAUGCGUAGAGAUCUGGAGGAAUACCGAUGGCGAAGGCAGCCAUCUGGCCUAACACUGACGCUGAGGUGCGAAAGCAUGGGGAGCAAACAGGAUUAGAUACCCUGGUAGUCCAUGCCGUAAACGAUGUCUACUAGCCGUUGGGGCCUUUGAGGCUUUAGUGGCGCAGCUAACGCGAUAAGUAGACCGCCUGGGGAGUACGGUCGC